rnacentral:rRNA from 1 species
UACGGAAGGGGCAAGCGUUGUUCGGAAUCAUUGGGCGUAAAGGGCGCGUAGGUGGUUCUGUAUGUCUACCGUGAAAGCGUACGGCUCAACCGUAUUUUGUCGGUGGAAACUGCAGGACUUGAGGCUGGGAGGGGCUGGUGGAAUUCCCUGUGUAGCGGUGAAAUGCGUAGAGAUGGGGGAGAACACUCGUGGCGAAGGCGGCCAGCUAGACCAGUUCUGACACUGAGGCGCGACGAGCAGUGGGGGAGCAAACAGGAUUCAUGAUACCCUUGU